rnacentral:sRNA from 12 species
UGAAGUAUGCAAUAAUAGCUUUCCAAGUGCUUUGGUGUUCCCUCGGAGUAUCCGGGGCAUGUUUAGGAAACUAAACAUAAAACUGAAGAAAUUCACUUGGUUAGACGCUACUUCA